AGAUGCGAUUAUACCAACACUAAAGCAUCGGAUCCCAUCAGAACUCUGAAGUUAAGCGUGCUUGGGCGAGAGUAGUACUAGGAUGGCUGACCUCCUGGGAAGUCCUCGUGUUGCAUUCC
rnacentral:rRNA from 1 species